rnacentral:rRNA from 1 species
AGGGUGUAAACGCUGCAGACUUGGUGUUGGAAGUCCUUUGGGGGCAUUCAGUGCCGGAGAGAAGUUGUUAAGUCUGCUACUUGGGGAGUACGUCCGCAAGGAUGAAACUUAAAGGAAUUGGCGGAGGAGCACCGCAACGGGAGGAGCGUGCGGUUUAAUUGGAUUCAACACCGUAAAACUCACCAGGGAAGACUGUUACAUGAAAGCCGAGAUGAAGACUCUGCUAGAUUUUCAGAGAGGAGGUGCAUGGCGUCAGUGACU